rnacentral:tRNA from 1 species
UCCCUGGUGGCUCAGAUGGUAAAGCAUCUGCCUGCAAUGCAGGAGACCUGGGUUCGAUCCCUGGGUCGGGAA